AACAACAUAAAACCUAAAAUCACAAAUUUCCACUGUGUGACAUAUAUGUGACAUAUAGGCCAUAUAUGUCAGCGUCUACUUCAUGCCUCGCUGUAUGUUCUGUUAGUAGUUUAGUUUGUAGGUUUUCCACUUUAGUUUUUGUAUAAAAUCGUGCCAGUGAUAAAGCAGAGUUUUGGUUUUAAAAUCCUGUCUGUGAGUCUGCAUUUGGGUGCAAGCCUGCCUAAACACACAGUUUCCUGACAGAACCUUAUGGGGAGAUAAUGUGUGACUCAGUGUUUUCAGUGCAGUUACAUUAACACAGCUCACUGUAUGCAGCACGUCUACUUCACACCUUCACAAAUGUUAACCAGGGCGUGACGUUUAGUCUGAUAUUGUGCAGCCACUCAGGUUGUUUGCUUUCUGAUAGCAAGUCAGUGGGUGGGACAGAGAAAAGCACAAAACCAACUAAAGCUUUCUACCUUACAGUUAACGUGCAGUCAACUACAGGAAGACACAGUUUGUUUGGCUCGAUCUGCAAUAUUUCUAACUAAAUCAAUGCAUUUACUUAAAAUGUAAUUGUCAAAAAAGAGCUCGUUCCCUUCAAGGAGUUCAGAGAGUCAGUGAAGACAUCAUACAGACAGAGAAAGAGGAAAAGGAGGGUUUUACUGAGUGUGACCGUGAACGGAUCUCAGUGUUGGUCUGAUAUCAUUGAGCAGCAGGAUGGAGGAAACGUCUCUGCUGUGUCUGCUCUUUCUGAUCUCACUGCUGAGCUGCACCACAAACCAAGGUCAGUAACCUUCUUCUGUCACACUGUAAACCUGACUCACUCUUCCAGGAGACAUUUAUUGAAAACAUGGUGCAGCCAACUGCAGACAGACUCCUCCUCAUUCACGUCCAUAAUAACUGACUCUUUCUGACGGUUUAAAGGAUUUCAGGUUUUAUGUCAUUCAAACACAUAUAACUCAGAUUGUGUUAUGAAUAAUACCCAUUUUAUUAAGCAUUCAGCAGCUGAUGUGAGGAAAUCAACAGCUGUGAAAAAUAUCUGGAUAGUGAAAAAUUUAAAAAAUAUAUUUAUAUAUCUU